CCCUUAGAUGUUCGGGGCCGCACGCGCGCUACACUGAAGGAAUCAGCGUGCUCUUGUCCUGGUCUGGAAAGACUGGGUAACCCGUUGAACCUCCUUCGUGCUAGGGAUUGGGGCUUGCAAUUAUUCCCCAUGAACGAGGAAUUCCCAGUAAGCGCAAGUCAUCAGCUUGUGUUGAUUACGUCCCUGCCCUUUGUACACACCGCCCGUCGCCACUACCGAUUGAAUGGUUUAGUGAGAUCUCCGGAUUGGCGGCCUUGGUACCUUCACGGGUCCAACGGUUCUGCCGAGAAGCUGCUCGAACUUGAUCAUUUAGAGGAAGUAAAAGUCGUAACA
rnacentral:rRNA from 1 species